CUGUUAGCUCAGUUGGUAGAGCAGCGGACUCUUAAUCCGUAGGUCGAGUGUUCGAGCCACUC
rnacentral:tRNA from 3 species